AGGACACCUGGGGAGUUGACUGUGUCUGCCCUGCCUGUCUCUCCAAAAAUGCUGUCUUCCUCUUUAGCCUCGGGCUCUGGGUGAGCAAUCUGUGCCAGCCCCACUGGUAAAACUGUUCCUGAGACAGUGUGCCUCUGUCAUCCCACUGAAGCCGACACCAGGGCAUGGCAUACGGCCCCGCCCUGUAAAACAAUCAACCCGGGUGUGGCUUCGUACCCACAGUAGAUGGAUCACCACUGUGUUGUUCUACUCAUCCAUGGUGGGCUUGUGGAUGGAUCUUGCUUGCCAGUGACAUACACCGUACUGCUUCUGAUGAAGAUUUUGGGGGGCUAGACGUCCUUGUGGAUGAUUUCUGCUGCUUCCCGUGGCAUCCAUGCACCCGGUGGCCCAUUCAAACUACUGGUGUCUUGUCACUGAACAGAACUGGACUUGAAGCAAUCAAGCUGGCACUGGUCUGGAAAUGUUCUUCCUUCUGACUAGUUUCCAUAAUGCUGAAAGGGGCUGUGGAGAUGUCUGGGGGAGAAGAGACCCCGGUGGAUUUACCCAGGGCCAAGGGAACACUGAGGAAUAAGAGGCUUAGGAGCAGAAGAGUCAGACGACUGGAAAGAAGGAAGUCUCCUGGACAUGACACGCCGUGACACUCAUGAGCUCACUGCACCUAUGGUUACUUACACAAGACCUACACCGGAUCAAACCAGCUGACGCAAUAGCACGGAUGGGAGAGGAGCGCAGUCACUGAGGAGUUGUUGGCAUCUGAUGGCUGCUGGGGCAGGAGAAUCAUUUUCCUUCAGGAGGGUGGCUGCUGAGAAAUUUGACGGUACGAGGGAGACCUUUGGACGCAGGAGCUGAGGCGACUUUCAGAGCACUUUCCCUCCGUGUGAGGUAUGGACAGCUGUUUCUCCAACAAGAGAUCUUUCUAGCAUGAAGGAUGGGUCGGGCUCUGCAAUCUGUCAGGUUCUGGGAUGGUCAGGAGACCAAUUCUGGGAGGGAUUUCAAGUCCCCUUUCCUGAGUUCCGCCAUACACUUGGUCUCCUCCCAUCCUUCAGUGAUACUUUCACCUCUUUAUCAACAAGCAGAUAAGAAGCAGGUCACACAGAUCAAAGAGCUAAGGUAUAUUUCUAUCAAUCAGUGAAACUAUCCGGGAGGAAGGCACAGGUUGGGUGGGGGAGAGAGAGUCUUCCACUGGGGUAACAACUGUGGUACAGGCCUGCCCUGUGCAAAGCUUUCUGCUAGCCUUUGUCCUUAGCGUUCCAAAGAUAAUCUUUAUUUGCUCGACCAGGCACUGGGUCGAGUCCUACCACCAACAAAAAUCAAAACUACAGAUGCUGUUUGGUUGGGCAGGAUCAAGACAUGUUUUAUCAUUUACACGUCACAAGGAUGCCUGAGGUUCACAUUCCCAAGCACAUUACUUACUUGGCAUGAUGCCCUCUUCCCCCUAUACUGGAUCCCUGGGAAGAUGCUAAGGGUAGUGGGAUAAAUAAUGAAACCCCCAAUCCAUCAUUUAUAUUCCAGUUCCUGGGGUUCAAGUAUUACCCCACAUAGCAGCAAGGACUUUGCCGAUAUGAUGAAGUGAGGAUAGGAGAUGGGAAUGCAUUCUGUCAUCCAAGAGGCCUUGGCAGGUGCCCGUGUCAGAAGGGCAAACAGAGCGACAGAAACACUGGGGCCUCUUCAGUCCUUGGCAGGAAGCAGUUUCUCCAGUAGAGUCUCCAGGGAAGUGACUUUGAGCAUCUGGCUGCCAGAAUUGUGGGAAAGAAGGGCGCGAGGCUCACAGAGGCUCAGGUUGUAUACCUUUGUUGUCGGAGCAACACAGUGAACCCACUCUCUUGUCUGAAUUGGUUAGAAAGGGAACUGUGUGCCGGCUUCAGCAUGCAUGGCAAACCUAGAAGACAGUGGCAGAGCCGCUGGACUUUCCUGCCUUCCGGAUAGGUUGUGAGGUGUGAACGUUGACCAUCCGCGGCAGCAGGAACUGGAGCCUGGAGACAGCACUGCCAAUCUGAUUCCAGCUUGUCUCAUUUCCUCCAUCUCUAAAGUCAUCCACAUGCCUGAUUCUCACUGGGUAACUGACAAGGGCAAAAUGGGAUCACGGACAUCAUCCCGCACGCGGCAAACGCUAUGUGUAUGACAGUCUCCAUUUCCUCCCAGGUGGCCAUCCUGUCAACACUGUAGGAAUGGUAUCUGCUGGGCCGACCCCGGGCUGAUACAUACAAGAGAUUUGUUGGGGCUGGAACCUGAGUUUAAAUACAAAGAUGAUUUUAUCCAGUGUUUUCAGUGUGUGUUCAUUUUGAGUGCACCCCUUAAAAGGACUUCUGCCUGCUGUCUUAAGAAGCAAGCACUCAGCAACUUAUGCAAGAAGUAACGUCACUGCAAU